rnacentral:ncRNA from 1 species
AUUCAUGUAAAAAACUCAUAGUGACGUCGCUUUUUGAUCCUUCAAUGUCGGCUCUUCCUAUCAUUGUGAAGCAGAAUUCACCAAGCGUUGGAUUGUUCACCCACUAAUAGGGAACGUGAGCUGGGCUUAGACCGUCAUGAGACAGGUU